AAAUUGAAGAGUUUGAUCAUGGCUCAGAUUGAACGCUGGCGGCAGGCCUAACACAUGCAAGUCGAACGGUAACAGGAAGCAGCUUGCUGUUUCGCUGACGAGUGGCGGACGGGUGAGUAAUGUCUGGGAAACUGCCUGAUGGAGGGGGAUAACUACUGGAAACGGUAGCUAAUACCGCAUAACGUCGCAAGACCAAAGAGGGGGACCCUCGGGCCUCUUGCCAUCGGAUGUGCCCAGAUGGGAUUAGCUUGUUGGUGGGGUAACGGCUCACCAAGGCGACGAUCCCUAGCUGGUCUGAGAGGAUGACCAGCCACACUGGAACUGAGACACGGUCCAGACUCCUACGGGAGGCAGCAGUGGGGAAUAUUGCACAAUGGGCGCAAGCCUGAUGCAG
rnacentral:rRNA from 1 species